GACGUAGGGGGCGAGCGUUGUCCGGAUUCAUUGGGCGUAAAGGGCUCGUAGGCGGUUUGUCGCGUCGGGAGUGAAAACCCAGGGCUUAACCCUGGGCUGGCUUCCGAUACGGGCAGACUAGAGGUAUGCAGGGGAGAACGGAAUUCCUGGUGUAGCGGUGAAAUGCGCAGAUAUCAGGAGGAACACCGGUGGCGAAGGCGGUUCUCUGGGCAUUACCUGACGCUGAGGAGCGAAAGUGUGGGGAGCGAACAGG
rnacentral:rRNA from 1 species